rnacentral:rRNA from 1 species
GACGAACGCUGGCGGCGUGCUUAGCACAUGCAAGUCGAACGGAAAGGCCCUGCUUUUGUGGGGUGCUCGAGUGGCGAAUGGGUGAGUAACACGUGAGUAACCUGCCCUUGACUUUGGGAUAACUUCAGGAAACUGGGGCUAAUACCGGAUAGGAGCUCCUGCUGCAUGGUGGGGGUUGGAAAGUUUCGGCGGUUGGGGAUGGACUCGCGGCUUAUCAGCUUGUUGGUGGGGUAGUGGCUUACCAAGGCUUUGACGGGUAGCCGGCCUGAGAGGGUGACCGGCCACAUUGGGACUGAGAUACGGCCCAGACUCCUACGGGAGGCAGCAGUGGGGAAUAUUGCACAAUGGGCGGAAGCCUGAUGCAGCAACGCCGCGUGCGGGAUGACGGCCUUCGGGUUGUAAACCGCUUUCGCCUGUGACGAAGCGUGAGUGACGGUAAUGGGUAAAGAAGCACCGGCUAACUACGUGCCAGCAGCCGCGGUGAUACGUAGGGUGCGAGCGUUGUCCGGAUUUGUUGGGCGUAAAGGGCUCGUAGGUGGUUGAUCGCGUCGGAAGUGUAAUCUUGGGGCUUAACCCUGAGCGUGCUUUCGAUACGGGUUGACUUGAGGAAGGUAGGGGAGAAUGGAAUUCCUGGUGGAGCGGUGGAAUGCGCAGAUAUCAGGAGGAACACCAGUGGCGAAGGCGGUUCUCUGGGCCUUUCCUGACGCUGAGGAGCGAAAGCGUGGGGAGCGAACAGGCUUAGAUACCCUGGUAGUCCACGCUGUAAACGGUGGGUACUAGGUGUGGGGUCCAUUCCACGGGUUCCGUGCCGUAGCUAACGCUUUAAGUACCCCGCCUGGGGAGUACGGCCGCAAGGCUAAAACUCAAAGGAAUUGACGGGGCCCCGCACAAGCGGCGGAGCAUGCGGAUUAAUUCGAUGCAACGCGUAGAACCUUACCUGGGUUUGACAUGGAUCGGGAGUGCUCAGAGAUGGGUGUGCCUCUUUUGGGGUCGGUUCACAGGUGGUGCAUGGCUGUCGUCAGCUCGUGUCGUGAGAUGUUGGGUUAAGUCCCGCAACGAGCGCAACCCUUGUUCACUGUUGCCAGCACGUUAUGGUGGGGACUCAGUGGAGACCGCCGGGGUCAACUCGGAGGAAGGUGGGGAUGACGUCAAGUCAUCAUGCCCCUUAUGUCCAGGGCUUCACGCAUGCUACAAUGGCUGGUACAGAGAGUGGCGAGCCUGUGAGGGUGAGCGAAUCUCGGAAAGCCGGUCUCAGUUCGGAUUGGGGUCUGCAACUCGACCUCAUGAAGUCGGAGUCGCUAGUAAUCGCAGAUCAGCAACGCUGCGGUGAAUACGUUCCCGGGGCU